rnacentral:rRNA from 1 species
GUGCCAGCAGCCGCGGUAAUACCGGCAGCCCGAGUGAUGGCCGAUGUUAUUGGGCCUAAAGCGUCCGUAGCCGGCCGGGCAAGUCCGUCGGGAAAUCCGCGCGCUCAACGCGCGGGCGUCCGGCGGAAACUGCUCGGCUUGGGACCGGAAGACCCGAGGGGUACGUCCGGGGUAGGAGUGAAAUCCCGUAAUCCCGCACGGACCACCGAUGGCGAAAGCACUUCGAGAAAACGGAUCCGACAGUGAGGGACGAAAGCCAGGGUCUCCAACCGGAUUAGAUACCCCGGUAGUCC